GGGGCAUUUUCAGCCAUGGAGCAUUAUCAGUUGAUGUGGAGAUGGAGCUGACAGGACCAGGCUGCCUACAUGGAGGAGACAUUAGAUGCCUACACACAACUCUGUUUUCCUGCACUGAUGUUUGGUUGCGGGACGUUGGACGAAUUCAGCGAGCUUACAGGACGAUUUCAACAUUCGCAGAGGACGGUUUGAUUUCUGCCACUUAGGACAGUGCUAAAUACCUUCCUCCGGCUACUGCUGACACAAACUGCUGCUGCAAUUAUGAGGGUCCAACCUGUCUGCUCCUUUAUGAAUUGGGGUAAUAAGCCCUGGGCUCCAGAUGUCAGGAAGAUGGGUCGAACUCAGGAGAGGGUUGAAUAAUUUGGAGCACAUUCAUUCACAGCUCAGGGGGGAGGCAGUGAAGGCACUGGAACCGGGGAAGUCCAUGUCAGGGGUCCACGUGUCUCAUUUUCUCUCAGUGCCACUUAUGGACAUAUGAAAGCAUUUCUGGAGUCUUUCUAAACAGAACCUGCAUUUACUGUAUUCACAUGUCUCUGUGACCAUCCUAGUCGUGGGAAUUUGAUAAAUGCUGUAAAUGUAAUGUAAAUGUAGUCGUGUUUUAGCACAUGGAUUGGCAUUGGAGCAAUUAAGGCAAUUCCGUAUACACUUGCUGGCCAUUUUAUUAGAAACUAUAGCGCUGGGCAAAAAUGAUGAGACUGUGGGAAACAGUCGUCUUCAUUACUAUGGCAGCCAAUCCUUUACUUUUUUCUUCCACAUGAUGAGCUACCAAAUUUCAACAAACUAGGAAAGGCCUGAGAACCACAGCUGUGGUUUUAUCUUGUUGAACCCUUCCAUGGUUAAAGUAUUGUUUUAUUUUACUUGAUAUUAUGAAAUUGUUUAGUGCGUUUCACAGCAAUAUUGUUAUAUUUUGUUUUUUUUUUAUUUUUCAGAUGCUAAAAUUUAUGGAUGACAGUUUGACACUGUGUUUUUUUUUCCACAGCUAUUGAUAUAAAAUGUACUGUUACAGACUACAGCCCAAAGUUUGCCAUGGUUCGCCUAUGGUUAGUUUAGUUGGCCUCCACUCUGCAGCUGAGGACUCGCAGGAGACAAACGGCCUUUUAAUUCAGAGCGCCAGAGGUGAGGGAGAAGGAGGCCCCAGGGAGAGCUACCAAUCAGCCAUCCAUCACGCGGCUCCCCCACCCGACCGCCUCCACCCGGCUCGGCCAACCCCGCGCUGCACCCACCCCACCUGACACGCACACGCAUCCGCCAUCAAGUGCUGGAAGGGUUGGCAGCGGCGGGGGUGGAGCGCCGGGAUGCCUGUCUGCCCCUCCCCAACCCAGCCCCGAGCCCUCGGGCGCCCGUUGCCGUGAGGAGGGAAGUCUGGACAGGCAAGUGAAGGAGUUGCGCGCCCAGAGAUGUCCCCUGGGAAACGCAGUCUGACUUCAGUGUGUGUGUGUGUGUGCCACAGUUCUCUGUAUGCCUGUUCAUGUGUGUAAACAUGUUUGCUUAAACGUAAGUAAUUUUAAUUGAACUCUGGGGUUAAGCCCUCAUGCCGAGGCCUCCGCACAUCAAACUGGACCUGCUUUUCACGUCCUUCUAUCUUCCGAUCGGAUGUCACAAUGUUUUCAUUUGCAUUCGCUGAAAGACGAAACUUGAUUUGCUUCCCUAAUUUAUGUCCCCU
rnacentral:lncRNA from 1 species